ACAAUGAAGAGUUUGAUCCUGGCUCAGGAUGAACGCUAGCUACAGGCUUAACACAUGCAAGUCGAGGGGCAGCGGGAAGUUAGCUUGCUGACUUUGCCGGCGACCGGCGCACGGGUGAGUAACGCGUAUCCAACCUUCCGUUUACUCAGGGAUAGCCUUUCGAAAGAAAGAUUAAUACCCGAUGGUAUCUUAAUGACUCAUGUACUUAAGAUUAAAGAUUU
rnacentral:rRNA from 1 species